GGAGGGAUUUCCCGAGCGGUCAAAGGGGACGGACUGUAAAUCCGUUUGCGAGAGCUUUCGAAGGUUCGAAUCCUUCUCCCUCCACCA
rnacentral:tRNA from 1 species